ACUUAACAUUUAUCCCUUUUACACUUUGGAUACAUCACGACAUCGUAUAGAUCGGGGUCUCAGUACCCACAAUAUGUCUAUUUUCUACUUCAUUCUUUAGUAUCCGAGAUAUGAUGCGUUGUGCAUUUAGGUAAUUACUUUAUAUUUUAUGCAUUUUUGUAAUUUCUCAAUUUAUUUAAUUUAAAUAAAAAGAUCCAGAUUAGAGUGAUGACCUAAAAAAUGGCGAUCAUGUGACGAUAUUGAAAGGAGUGUAAUAGUAUUUAUUGUUUAACAAGAGCUGCAAUCUUGAGGUACUUUAGAAAGUGGAAACUAACUUCAUAAGAAAAAAUACAAGUACAAAGAAAUUUCAAUUCAAGGCAUCAUAAUUGAAAUUUUCGAAUUAAUUUUACAAACUGAUGAAUGAACGCAUCAUAUUUGAAUUGGUGGUGACCCCACAUGCGAUAAUGGUUUCUGAUUGCCUGACAACUUGAGAAUUAAUAACAAAAACGUAAAUCCACCACCCAUAUGUGCAUGAUGAACCUUGUGGUGGGUCAGAACUCAGAAAUUGGAAGAGUAAUUAAAUUAUUGAAUAUUGAAAGUGAAUUGAAUGAUAUUGAUGAUAUCAGUUCAGAUAGAGUAAAACGAAGAACUGCCACAUUUAACAAAGACUUUUUCUGGGUUACCAAUGAUGGGUUUUCUGUUUGGUAGUGAACAAUGACGUUUCGUUGGUCCUUAUUGUUAUGGGCUUGGACAUAGGCAUAUUAUGCCUAGGUUUAUGCUACUUAGGCUACCUUGGAAGUUUGCUGGUCAAUGAGGAAGUUCCAAAGGCUGUUACAAUUGCUCCUCAGGCUCCAAUUUUUCUUCGUCUUAAUAACUGAAAUUCAUAUUUCUUCCAUUUUGAGUAAAUCCCUAAUUCUUUUCCCUUUGAUUGAUGCCAUGGUCGCUUUUGCAAGCUCGCAAAGCUCAACUCCUUCUCUUCCCAUUGUGGAUCCAUGUCUCUCUUUACCACUUGUCAUGUCUCCCUCUCCAUCUGCGCUGGCCCUUGUUUCGACCAACUCAUCAAAGUUGUUGUUACCUUCAAGGUUUGAGAAACCAAAUCGGUCAUCGAACCAUUAUAAUUACUAAUUUUUUGAUGUACAAGUUUAGUGAUUUUAAUGAUAAUUUAAUUAAAAUAAUCAAUUUAUAAUAUAAUAGUAUAUAAAAAAUAAAAUCUCUGACGGUUGUAAAGAGAUAGAUUACUAAGAUGAUUAAGAUUCAUUAACAAAACUGAAACACAUUGCAAAUGGACUUUAAUAAAUGCUAGUUUGACUCAAAUAAACACGACACAGUACAAUUUUUUAAUCAUCAAAAAUAGUAAUUAACAACUUAAACAGUGACAAAUAAUUGGAGACAAAAUUGUAAAUUUCACAUCUGGUCCAUGCCUUCCUGAUGGUUCACGAGUCUUUGAAGGAGCUCAGUUCCUGACAGGAACAAAAAGUUUCCCUAAUGGCCAAAUCGAUGGAAGAGUUAGAGCAGAAAGACUUGUGAACAGAGAAACUGAGAAGCAGAUUGGAAGCGAAAGGAGCGAGGAAAUUGAAUCAGGAGGAGGAGGACAACUAUGACGAUGUCUGGGACGAUGAGUGCGACAAAGAAGACGGAGAUGGCCGACUGGUAGUUAUGAUGACCUUCUAAUUCUUUCCGAGUUCCCCUUUUUAUCUCAAGACAAAGAGCAAAACGAUGUAAUUUAGAGAAAACACCACAAACGAUGUAAAUACUAACGGGGAAUGCUACGGUGAUGAAGAACAUAUUCUUCAUCAGCUGAUGAAAUUACGUGGAAGGCACAAUUAAGUCAUGCGUGUCCCUUAUUUCCUGGGAAGAAAAGAUAGUUUCUGAAGUGCUGCAGGAGUUUGUCUUAUAUCAUGUCUCCCUUAGAUGAAGUUAAUGACAUUAAAUUUUUUUUUAAGUUAAUGAAGACAUUGUUAUUAUUUUAGUUAAUCUUUUGGGUCUUUUUGGUGGAUUGGCCAGUUUUUUUUGUUGUGAUUUGGACAUUGGGUAUUAUGGCUAAUAAUUUUAAUCACUAGAAAAAUUA